GAAUUCAAAGGAUAAUGGUAUUUCCCCUGAACUUAGGACUCAGUGCUCUCGGCUCAAUCCCGUGUGAAUUCU
rnacentral:tRNA from 1 species